UCUCAGGAAAGCACCAACUAUCAUCUACCC
rnacentral:piRNA from 1 species